GAUGAACGCUGGCGGCGUGCCUAAUACAUGCAAGUCGAGCGAACAGACGAAGAGCUUGCUCCUCUGACGUUAGCGGCGGACGGGUGAGUAACACGUGGAUAACCUACCUAUAAGACUGGGAUAACUUCGGGAAACCGGAGCUAAUACCGGAUAAUAUAUUGAACCGCAUGGUUCAAUAGUGAAAGACGGUUUUGCUGUCACUUAUAGAUGGAUCCGCGCCGCAUUAGCUAGUUGGUAAGGUAACGGCUUACCAAGGCAACGAUGCGUAGCCGACCUGAGAGGGUGAUCGGCCACACUGGAACUGAGACACGGUCCAGACUCCUACGGGAGGCAGCAGUAGGGAAUCUUCCGCAAUGGGCGAAAGCCUGACGGAGCAACGCCGCGUGAAUGAUGAAGGUCUUCGGAUCGUAAAACUCUGUUAUUAGGGAAGAACAAAUGUGUAAGUAACUAUGCACGUCUUGACGGUACCUAAUCAGAAAGCCACGGCUAACUACGUG
rnacentral:rRNA from 1 species